GCUAAUUGCGGGCCGGUAGGCGGGGUAUUACGGGGGGAGGGGGGUUUGUUGGGAAUGACUGGGCGUAAAGAGUACGUAGGCGGUGCUUUAAGUGUGGUGUGAAAUCUCCCGGCUCAACUGGGAGGGUGCGCCGGAAACUGGAGUGCUCGAGUGCGGGAGAGGUAAGCGGAAUUCCUGGUGUAGCGGUGAAAUGCGUAGAUAUCAGGAGGAACACCUGUGGUGUAGACAGCUUACUGGACCGCGACUGACGCUGAGGUACGAAAGCGUGGGUAGCAAACAGGAUUAGAUACCCCUGUAGUC
rnacentral:rRNA from 1 species